rnacentral:rRNA from 1 species
GUACCGGAUACCGACCCUCGGGAGGCAUCUCCAGGGGGUGGAAAGAACUUCGGUCAAGGAUGGACUCGCGGCCUAUCAGCUAGUUGGUGAGGUAACGGCCCACCAAGGCGACGACGGGUAGCCGGCCUGAGAGGGUGACCGGCCACACUGGGACUGAGACACGGCCCAGACUCCUACGGGAGGCAGCAGUGGGGAAUAUUGCACAAUGGGCGAAAGCCUGAUGCAGCAACGCCGCGUGAGGGACGACGGCCUUCGGGUUGUAAACCUCUUUAGUAGGGAAGAAGCGAAAGUGACGGUACCUGCAGAAAAAGCACCGGCUAACUACGUG